rnacentral:snRNA from 1 species
GGGUAUGAGGGUGAUGUGGCUGUGAUAUCUGGCACCCCAUUAAUUGCCAAGGUCGAGUCAGAUGGCCAGGCAGGUGCCCCCGCCCCCCCGCAACUGCUCUUUGUGUAUCCCUCCCCAAGCUACACUCUCACUUGAAGAUGAUGGCCUUCCCCAAAAGAAAGACUCUCCUUUGGUUAAGGGCAUACUAGUGUCCGCACUCCCCUCUUAGAACCUCCAAACAAGCUCCCCAAAUCCCAAGAAAGGUGACCCAACAGAAUCUGUAAAUGAUAUAACUAUUGUUAUCAACAUGUAC